AUUGAACGCUGGCGGCAGGCCUAACACAUGCAAGUCGAACGGUAACAGGAAGCAGCUUGCUGCUUUGCUGACGAGUGGCGGACGGGUGAGUAAUGUCUGGGAAACUGCCUGAUGGAGGGGGAUAACUACUGGAAACGGUAGCUAAUACCGCAUAACGUCGCAAGACCAAAGAGGGGGACCUUCGGGCCUCUUGCCAUCGGAUGUGCCCAGAUGGGAUUAGCUAGUAGGUGGGGUAACGGCUCACCUAGGCGACGAUCCCUAGCUGGUCUGAGAGGAUGACUAGCCACACUGGAACUGAGACACGGUCCAGACUCCUACGGGAGGCAGCAGUGGGGAAUAUUGCACAAUGGGCGCAAGCCUGAUGCAGCCAUGCCGCGUGUAUGAAGAAGGCCUUCGGGUUGUAAAGUACUUUCAGCGGGGAGGAAGGGAGUAAAGUUAAUACCUUUGCUCAUUGACGUUACCCGCAGAAGAAGCACCGGCUAACUCCGUG
rnacentral:rRNA from 1 species